GUUUGCCUAGCCUAGUGUGCGUAAAGCAGGUCACACACUUGCCCCGAACCAACACCGAACUGUGAUCUUUUCUUCCCACGUCUAAUUUUCGAUUGGACAACUUUCUCCCACGUGUGCCGGCCGGAGAUACUUAAAUAUGUCCCCAGAGAGCAAAUGAUUGUACUCGUGGUUUAGUAUUAUGAAUUGCCUCUUGAUACGGACCUAUUAAAAGAACCAACUGCCUGCCACAGGAUGACAUCGUUAAUCGGAGGACUCGUCUUUUGCAUUUCCUUCCUUGCCCUGGAAGUCCAAGCAACAUACCGACUUUAUGGAGAAUACCAUCCUCGGCAGCAUCAGGCAGACAGCCCCAUCGUGCCACGGCAAACGUUUCAGCGGAACUUCCAACAGCAACAGCCAUUUCAGAGUGUUCAGCAAGAAACCCACUGCAAAAGCCGCCCCCUAGAUCUGGUGUUCAUCAUCGACAGCUCCCGUAGCGUACGCCCCCAAGAAUUUGAGAAGGUCAAAAUCUUCUUGGCUGACAUGGUCGACACCCUCGAGAUUGGCGCAGACGCCACACGUGUUGCCGUUGUGAACUACGCUAGCACAGUGAAGAUUGAGUUCCUGCUCAAGACGCACUUCGACAAGCCGGGCCUGAAAGCAGCGUUGGCGCGCAUCGAAUCCUUAGCGGCUGGCACCAUGACGGGGCUAGCCAUCAAGACGGCCAUGGAGGAGACCUUCACCGAGGGAUCGGGCGCCCGGCUAACCAACAAGAACAUCGCCAAGGUGGCCAUCAUCGUGACGGACGGGCGGCCCCAGGACACGGUGGAGGAGGUUGCCGCGGCGGCGAGGGCGGCAGGCAUCGAGAUCUACGCAGUCGGGGUGGACAGGGCGGACAUGAAGUCCCUGCGUCUCAUGGCCAGUCUGCCAUUGGAUGAACACGUGUUCUACGUGGAGACCUACGGCGUCAUCGAGAAGCUCACGUCCAAGUUCAGGGAAACGCUGUGUGGUGUGGACGCCUGUGCCCUGGGACACGACUGCGACCACAUAUGUGUCAACAACAACAACAACAACGCGUACGCCUGCAAGUGUCGAGAAGGCUAUACACUGAAUGCAGACAAGAAAACAUGCUCACCAGGUUCUUUGCAAAACCAAAACCAAAACCAGAACCAGAACCAAAACCAGAACCAGAACCAAAACCCAAACCAAAAUGGAUCAGGUUCCAACGGUUGGUGCACCUUUAUUUCAGAAUUCAUAGGCUAGAAAUCCUAAGUGCUGCUGUUAUGGUAUGCAUGCCCAGUGCUUGAAGUGGACUGAAAUAGAUGCCACAGUCAUUCUGUCUGCUGGUACUGUUAUAUUUAUUAUUCUACAAGAGGUGGAGAAACUCAUGAUGUCGAACAUUUAAGGUGCCCCCGGAACUCAGUCCCUGUGUGUUCCUGCCAAAGUCAAGCACUGUGCAUGCCACUAUCCAAUGCGUUUACGCCAUCUUUGCUAGCUAACAUUGCUUUGUCCCCUCUUCACCUUAUACGGCUAAUACAUGGUGAGUUUGUUGUGAUGCGUCGGCGUGGCUUAUUUAGCAUUAAAACCCACAGAGCUGCAGAGUAGCCCGGGCUGCAGGGCUAGAGCUCUCGACCUGCCUUGGUUAUCGACGGUUCCAAGAGCGUCCGUCUGGACAACUUUGAGCUGGUGAUGAGUCGGCGCUGGCACUGUCCAGUUUGGCCUGAUCCAGUACACCAGCUCAGUCCGGACCUAGUUCACCUUAAACCACCACCAAGGCUUUGAAGAAGGCAGUGAGAGGUGUUCAGUACAUGGGCUCCGUGUUGGUCCUGCUCCACCUGCUGGACAGGAGCUUCACACAGGGAGAAGGCACCGGCCAAAGUGCUCCGGGUGGCCAUCGUGCUGACGGAUGGACAGUUGCAAAACGACAUCUCGGGGCAUGCCUGGAACCUUAAAGAGCAAGGUGUGGAGAUGUACGCGAUGGGUUAAACGGAGGAGAGCGAGCUCCUGGAGAUUGCCUCUGAGCCCCACAACCAGCAUUACGUUCACUCGGCUGACUUUAGCACCGUGGACUCCAUAAAGAGCGAGUUCUGCCACUGUAAGGAAGAAGGAAAUGGAUACGCAUGGGAAGGUGCAGCAUGAGCUAGCCGCUAGGGGAACAACAACUAGAUCCAGGAGAAGGACCCAAAGGAGGAGCCUGGUCGACUGACUUGUGUUUGGCCUCAUACGUUUGUUGGACU